UCAUAUGCUUGUCUCAAAGCUUAAGCCAUGCAAGUGUAAGUUCACGCCACGCAUUAGAACGGGCGAAACCGCGAAUGGCUCAGGAACCGGACCUAAUCCUCGGGACCGUAUUCCUCUUCGGAGGCGAUGGAUAACUGUGGCAAUUCUAGAGCUAAUACAUGUGAUACAGGCCGCGAUCGGUCGGCGCGUUGUCGUCGCCUCGCCUUCUUGCGCGCUGGCACCCGCGUCGGCCGUUACGGGUCGCGGCGCUACAUAUUAGACUGAGACCGAUGCGCGUCCAUCCGUCCUCCCGUCGUUGUCGUCGUCGAUGGCAACUCGUUGUCGUUGGCGGUGGUGGCGGUGGGGCUCAUAGGGCGGCGCGCUCCGCUUUGGUGACUCUGGAUAACUCACUGGUCGAUCGCACGAGCUCCAAUGCUCGGCGACGGGUCUCUCGAGGGUCCGCCCUAUCAACUGUCGACGGUCGGUUAAGUGCCUACCGUGGUUACAACGGGUAACGGGGAAUCGGGGUUCGAUUCCGGAGAGGGAGCAUGCGAAACGGCUACCACAUCCAAGGAAGGCAGCAGGCGCGCAAAUUACCCACUCCCGGCACGGGGAGGUAGUGACGAAAAAUAACGACGCGGGACUCUGUCGAGGCCCCGCGAUCGGAAUGAGUACACUUCAAAUCCGUUAACGAGGACCAACCGGAGGGCAAGUCUGGUGCCAGCAGCCGCGGUAAUUCCAGCUCCGGUAGCGUAUAUUAAAGUUGUUGCGGUUAAAAAGCUCGUAGUCCGAACUCGGGUUCGUGGUCGCGUUAGCGGCCCCGGGGCGGCGGCGCCAUCGUCCAUUGUUGACUUUGGUCGUCCGUUCGCAUUCCCGGCCCUUUCCGCCGGUGUCAACCGCUGUACAUCCGCCACGUGGUCCUGCCGGCGAGGUGGACGAGGUGGUCGAGUCGGGAUUCGGGAGCGGUUCCGGGCGGGUGAACGAAAUCACGGGGUCGUAAGUGGUGGUCUUCGUCGUUGGGCGUCGGUUGAUACAGUGGCGGCGCUAUCACUUUCUGGACAUGCAUCCGUGUGUGUUCGCUGGUUUACGGUGUUCCACUCAGCCGUUCGUCUCUUCGGUGGCGGCCAUCGCCCUUUCUCGCCGCUUCCUCACCCUCGCUCUCCCUCCCCCCGAUUCACACCGAGUCCCUGCUUCGUGUCUGCGCGCGCGUGUUGCGGUCGGCGGUUUCUCCUCCAAGGGUGCUCUUAACCGAGUGUCCGCGGCGGCCGGUACGUUCACUUUGAAAAAAUUAGAGUGCUCAGAGCGGGCUGUUCAAGCUUGCAUACGAUAAGCAUGGAAUGAUGAAAGAGGGCCUCGUCUACGUCUGUCGGUCUCCGUCUACGGCGAGGCAAUGAUCGAAGGGAGCGGUCGGGGCCACUCGUAUUGCGACGUUAGAGGUGAAAUUCUUGGAUCGUCGCAAGACGAACUGCAGCGAUGGCGUGUGGCAAGCACGUUUUCCUCGAUCAAGAGCGAAAGUCGGAGGUUCGAAGACGAUCAGAUACCGUCGUAGUUCCGACCGUAAACGAUGCCGACCGGCGAUCCGCCGGCGUUCGCUUCCAUGACCCGGCGGGUAGCCUGCGGGAAACCAGAGUUCGGUUCCGGGGGGAGUAUGGUUGCAAAGCUGAAACUUAAAGGAAUUGACGGAAGGGCACCACCAGGAGUGGAGCCUGCGGCUUAAUUUGACUCAACACGGGAAAACUCACCCGGUCCGGACACCGGUAGGAUUGACAGAUCGAUAGCUCUUUCUCGAUUCGGUGGGUGGUGGUGCAUGGCCGUUCUUAGUUGGUGGAGCGAUCCGUCUGGUUGAUUCCGAUAACGAACGAGACUCCGGCCUGCUAACUAGUGCGCCGAUGUGUGUGAUUUUUACGGCGGGCUCGACGGUGUCCAUCGUGGCGCCGCCCGGGUCCGGGUCGGUUUUCUCACGCACUUCUUAGAGGGACGGGUGGCAGAAAGCCACACGAGGCGGAGCGAUAACAGGUCUGUGAUGCCCUUAGAUGUCCGGGGCCGCACGCGCGCUACACUGGAGGUAUCAGCGGGGACUUCGCCCCGGCCCGAGAGGGUUGGGAAACCUCUUAACCACCUCCCGUGAUAGGGAUCGGGGCCUGUAACCAACCCCGUGAACGAGGAAUUCCCGGUAGGCGCGGGUCAACAGCCCGCGUCGAUCACGUCCCUGCCCUUUGUACACACCGCCCGUCGCUACUACCGAUCGAACGGUCCGGUGAGGUCCUCGGAUCUGGCUGACGACGCCGCCCAGGCUGUUCGGUUGCGGUUUCGGCCGCUCCGUCUCCGCCUCGGCGUUCGAUGCCUGGAGAAGACGACCGAACCCGAUCGUNNAGAGGAAGUAAAAGUCGUAA
rnacentral:rRNA from 1 species